GCAUCGAUGAAGAACGCAGCGAAAUGCGAUACUUGGUGUGAAUUGCAGAAUCCCGUGAACCAUCGAGUCUUUGAACGCAAGUUGCGCCCGAAGCCGUCAGGCCGAGGGCACGUCUGCCUGGGCGUCACGCA
rnacentral:rRNA from 1 species